CGCUGGCGGCAUGCCUAUCACAUGCAAGUCGAACGAGACCUUCGGGUCUAGUGGCGCACGGGUGCGUAACGCGUGGGAAUCUGCCCUUCGGUUCGGAAUAACUCAGGGAAACUUGAGCUAAUACCGGAUAAUGACGUAAGUCCAAAGAUUUAUCGCCGAAGGAUGAGCCCGCGUAGGGAUUAGCUUGUUGGUGGGGUAAUGGCCCACCAAGGCGACGAUCCUUAGCUGGUCUGAGAGGAUGAUCAGCCACACUGGGACUGAGACACGGCCCAGACUCCUACGGGAGGCAGCAGUGGGGAAUAUUGGACAAUGGGCGAAAGCCUGAUCCAGCAAUGCCGCGUGAGUGAUGAAGGCCUUAGGGUUGUAAAGCUCUUUUACCCGGGAUGAUAAUGACAGUACCGGGAGAAUAAGCUCCGGCUAACUCCGUG
rnacentral:rRNA from 1 species